rnacentral:lncRNA from 10 species
UGAUCCGCCCACCAAAGUGCUCUGAUUACAGGCUUGAACCAUCUCGCCCAGCUGAUUUUUAAAAAAAAUGCAUUUUACUCUGGUAAAGAUGUAUUUAAUGAAAUUUACCAUGUUAACGGUUAUUAAGUAUACAGUUCAAUACUGUUAAAUAUAUUCACAUUGCUGUGAAACACAUAUCCAGAAGUUUUCCAUCUUGCAAAUCUGAAACUCUUUACCCAUUGAACAACUCCAUUUUCCUUGCUCCUCUCAGCCCCUGGUAGCCACCAGUCUACUUUCUGUUUCUCUG